GACGAACGCUGGCGGCGUGCUUAACACAUGCAAGUCGAACGGAAAGGCCCUACUCUUGUGGGUUGCUCGAGUGGCGAACGGGUGAGUAACACGUGUGUAACCUGCCCUUGACUUUGGGAUAACUCCAGGAAACUGGGGCUAUUACCGCAUAGGAGCUUCUGCUGCAUGGUGGGGGUUGGAAAGUUUCGGCGGUUGUGGCUGGAUUCGCGGCUUAUCAGCUUCUUGGUGUGGUAGUGGCUUACCAAGGCUUUGACGGCUAGCCGGCAUGAGAGCGUGACCGGCCACCAUGGGACUGAGAUAGGGAGCAGAAGGCAACGGGACGCAGUGGUGGAGAAUAUUGCAGAACGGGCGGACGCGAGAUGUAGAGACGCCGCGAGCGGGAUGCCGGCCUUCUGGUUGUAAACCGAUUUCGAAGGUGAUGAGGAGAGAGUGACGGUAAUUGGUCAAGAAGCACCGGCUAACUACGUG
rnacentral:rRNA from 1 species